rnacentral:rRNA from 1 species
GACGAACGCUGGCGGCGUGCCUGACACAUGCAAGUCGAACGGAACUCGGGACUUCGGUUCUGAGUUUAGUGGCGAACGGGUGAGUAACGCGUGAGGAACCUGCCUUUCAGUGGGGGACAACAGUUGGAAACGACUGCUAAUACCGCAUAGUGUGUUUUGGGGGCAUCCCCGAGACACCAAAGCUUUAUGUGCUGAAAGAUGGCCUCGCGUCUGAUUAGAUAGUUGGUGAGGGAACGGCUAACCUAGUUUGCGAUCCGUAGCCGGUCUGAGAGGAUGAACGGCUACAUUGGGACUGAAAUACGGACCAGACUCCUGCGGGAGGCAGCAGUGGGGAAUAUUGGGCAAUGGGGGAAACCCUGACCCAGCAACGCCGCGUGAAGGAAGAAGGCCUUCGGGUUGUAAACUUCUUUUAGCAGGGACGAAGAACGUGACGGUACCUGCAGAAAAAGCAACGGCUAACUACGUGCCAGCAGCCGCAGUAACAC